rnacentral:rRNA from 1 species
UACGGGGGGAGCAAGCGUUGUUCGGAUUUACUGGGCGUAAAGGGCGCGUAGGCGGCCACCGCAAGUCGGUUGUGAAAUCUCCGGGCUUAACCCGGAAAGGUCAACCGAUACUGCGGGGCUAGAGUGCAGAAGGGGCAACUGGAAUUCUCGGUGUAGCGGUGAAAUGCGUAGAUAUCGAGAGGAACACCUGCGGCGAAGGCGGGUUGCUGGGCUGACACUGACGCUGAUGCGCGAAAGCUAGGGGAGCAAACGGG